CUUACGGGCCAUACUCUUCUGAGCUCCGCCCUGAUCUCGUCUGAUCUCAGAAGCUAAGCAGGAGUAGGGCUGGUUAGGUACCUGGGAUGGAAGGACGCCCUGGAAUUCCCAGGGUGCGUUAGG
ensembl:rRNA 5S_rRNA 5S ribosomal RNA